GACGUAGGGCGCGAGCGUUGUCCGGAUUUAUUGGGCGUAAAGAGCUCGUAGGCGGCCGUUCGCGUCGGAUGUGAAAGCUCAGGGCUCAACCCUGAGACGCCAUUCGAUACGGGACGGCUAGAGGUAGGUAGGGGAAAGUGGAAUUCCUGGUGUAGCGGUGAAAUGCGCAGAUAUCAGGAGGAACACCGGUGGCGAAGGCGGCUUUCUGGGCCUUACCUGACGCUGAGGAGCGAAAGCUGGGGGAGCGAACAGG
rnacentral:rRNA from 1 species